rnacentral:rRNA from 1 species
UACGUAGGGUGCGAGCGUUGUCCGGAAUUAUUGGGCGUAAAGGGCUCGUAGGCGGUUUGUCGCGUCGGGAGUGAAAACGCCGUGCUUAACACGGCGCUUGCUUUCGAUACGGGCAGACUAGAGGUAUUCAGGGGAGAACGGAAUUCCUGGUGUAGCGGUGAAAUGCGCAGAUAUCAGGAGGAACACCGGUGGCGAAGGCGGUUCUCUGGGAGUGACCUGACGCUGAGGAGCGAAAGUGUGGGGAGCGAACAGG